GAUGAACGCUGGCGGCGUGCCUAAUACAUGCAAGUCGAGCGAACAGACGAGGAGCUUGCUCCUCUGACGUUAGCGGCGGACGGGUGAGUAACACGUGGAUAACCUACCUAUAAGACUGGGAUAACUUCGGGAAACCGGAGCUAAUACCGGAUAAUAUAUUGAACCGCAUGGUUCAAUAGUGAAAGACGGUUUUGCUGUCACUUAUAGAUGGAUCCGCGCCGCAUUAGCUAGUUGGUAAGGUAACGGCUUACCAAGGCAACGAUGCGUAGCCGACCUGAGAGGGGGAUCGGCAACACGGGAACGGAGACCGGGCCCAGCUCCCUAGGGGAGCAAGCAGUAGGGAAUCUCCGGCAAUGGGCGAAAGCUGGCGGGAGCACCGCGGCGGGAGUGAUGAAGGUCUCCGGACCGUAAACCUCGGUUAUUAGGGAAGACAAAAUGUGAAGGUAACAAGCCCCGUUUGGAGGGUACUUAACCAGAAAGCAACGGUUAACUACGU
rnacentral:rRNA from 1 species